rnacentral:rRNA from 1 species
CCUACGGGGAGCAGCAGUGGGGAAUAUUGGACAAUGGGCGAAAGCCUGAUCCAGCCAUGCCGCGUGUGUGAAGAAGGCCUUCGGGUUGUAAAGCACUUUCAGUGGGGAAGAAAGCCUUGGGGCUAAUACCCUCGAGGAAGGACAUCACCCACAGAAGAAGCACCGGCUAACUCCGUGCCAGCAGCCGCGGUAAUACGGAGGGUGCGAGCGUUAAUCGGAAUUACUGGGCGUAAAGCGCGCGUAGGCGGUCUGAUAAGCCGGUUGUGAAAGCCCCGGGCUCAACCUGGGAACGGCAUCCGGAACUGUCAGGCUAGAGUGCAGGAGAGGAAGGUAGAAUUCCCGGUGUAGCGGUGAAAUGCGUAGAGAUCGGGAGGAAUACCAUUGGCGAAGGCGGCCUUCUGGACUGACACUGACGCUGAGGUGCGAAAGCGUGGGUAGCAAACAGGAUUAGAUACCCUGUAGUC